CAUUAAAUUACAGUUACUUUGGAGUAUAUUUAUUCAUGCAAAUUACUCCUCCAUGUACAGGUGUUUCCAUGGCUUUUCUAUUGCUGUGCGGACACCAUGAACAAGGAAGGGUUUAUCGGGGUCUUAUAGCUUCAAAAGGUGACUACUCCAGGACCAUUGCAGCAGGGUAGAUAUGGCACCAGCCAGGCAGGCAUGGCCCUGGGGCAGUAGCUGAUAGCUUACAUCUUAAUCCAUAAGCAUGAGGUAGUGGUGGUAGUGACGAGACAAGAGACAGAGACAGACAGUCAGACAGACAAGACACAAAGAGAGGGAGAGAGAGAGAAUAUAUGGACAGUGCGGGUUUUAAAAUCUCAAAACCAGCCCUCAGUAACACUCGUUCUUCAACAAAGCCACAUCUCUUUUUUUUGGGGGGGGGGUUCUUUUUUUCGGAGCUGGGGCCCGAACCCAGGGCCUUGCGCUUCCUAGGCAAGCACUCUACCACUGAGCUAAAUCCCCAACCCCCAAUGCCACACCUCUUAAUUCUUCCUGAAUAAUUCCACCAACUGGGGACUAAGUUUCCAAAUAUCUGAGGCUAUGGGGUGUUGUGGGUUGCAUUUGCAUUCAAACUUCACAAGGUUUGUUCACUGUAAUUUAUGUUAUCCAGAUCUGAAUUCACUACUUCAGAGCUUAUGGUGGCAAAAGGGAAGACAAAAAGAAAGUAACCAGAAUGCCUCAACAGAGUUAUAUUAAAAAAUAGUAAUAAAA
rnacentral:lncRNA from 1 species